CCAGACUCCUACGGGAGGCAGCAGUGGGGAAUAUUGGGCAAUGGGCGCAAGCCUGACCCAGCAACGCCGCGUGAAGGAAGAAGGCUUUCGGGUUGUAAACUUCUUUUCUCAGGGACGAAGCAAGUGACGGUACCUGAGGAAUAAGCCACGGCUAACUACGUGCCAGCAGCCGCGGUAAUACGUAGGUGGCAAGCGUUAUCCGGAUUUACUGGGUGUAAAGGGCGUGUAGGCGGGAAAGCAAGUCAGAUGUGAAAACCAUGGGCUCAACCUGUGGCCUGCAUUUGAAACUGUUUUUCUUGAGUACUGGAGAGGCAGACGGAAUUCCUAGUGUAGCGGUGAAAUGCGUAGAUAUUAGGAGGAACACCAGUGGCGAAGGCAGCCUACCGGCGCGCAACUGACGCUCAUGCACGAAAGCGUGGGUAUCGAACAGGAUUAGAUACCCCUGUA
rnacentral:rRNA from 1 species